AGAGAGAGCUUUAAUUCUCUUCCUCUCAAUUGUAUUGUCUUGGGUUCACUCUUUCUUUAACCUCCUCUAUUUUAUCCAAGUCUCCAAUUUUAAAUCCAUUUUGCAUAUUAUCCAACAAAUUUGGUAUCAUAGCUAUCAUGAACAAGACUCCAUAUGAAGCGUGGCUCAAACAAAAACCCCAGAUGUUAUCUUUGACGAAUCAGCAGCAUGGAAUUGGGAAAGCGCUCCCAAAACAGGAGCAAAAAUAUUUGAAGAAAGUACUGUUCAGGAUAAGUCAAAUUCUCAACCAAGUUGUAACACCCCGUACCAAAAUAUACAUAUUUUAACAGCUUGACCAAGUUUGACUAAGUUUGAUCAAGUUUGACCAAGUGAUCAUAUAUGGUUCCAAGUUGACUUUUUCUAUGAUCAAUAUUUUUUGUUUGACUGAUGUAAUGUUGUAUAGAUCUAGUCGAUACGAGUUCAUAGACUGGUGGCACAUCAAAUUCUGAGUUACGAAUAAAAAGUUAUGGUUCAGAGAAGUUUUCAGCAUAAGUUUUAUAUCAAUGUCCAACCAGUCCCCAGUUUUUGUCUGUUAGUGAGCCUAGGCUCUAAAUAAGCCUUGGUAAGCAUGCCAAAUAGGAAACCAAAUUCCAAAAUACUGUUUCUAGCCCUCAAAACCCGAGAAAUCCUCCCCUAGACCCGUGGGUCCAAAACGGGUCGUUCCGACCCGUUUAAUGGUGAACCGGGUCACCGCCGUGUUUGCCCAUUCUGGCCAUGAACUUUUUACAUGCACCCACCAGCGAGAAAUACCACUUCGAAGCAAGCUUGGCCGUGAAAUUUCAUGGAGAACAGCGGCUGGACGGGCCCGGAUCUGGCCGGAGAAGACGGUGCUGGCCAGCUAGGUGGGUCAUUGGAUUUUCACAUUUUUCGACCGUUUCAGGCCAACCUGUAGAUAUUACCCACCAUUUUUGGACCCUCUGAACUCAUUUCCAUGGUUCUUUUUCCCAAAUUCCUUACCGUUUGGGAGAUACGAUGACAGGAAGUUCAGUCACCGGAGGAAUCUUUGGACCAAGAUAAACUGGGGCUGCAUUUGGACAGCAUUGGUCAAAUUGGUUAAAAUUGGAGUUGGAUUUGUAAAAUUGGUAUUAUUAGGACCUAUUUAGAGGUUCAAUUUUGAAAGAGUAGGCUUCGGGUGAAAAACUCCAAUUUUGAGUAUCGGAUCCUAAGGACACACGGUAUAAUUGGACUGUCCGGUGUCCAAUUUAUGUAAUUUUAUAGUACUAAAAAUUAAUUUAAGACAUUUGGGUCAUACAAGUGUCUUUAGUUUAGUUAUUUUGAGCCUGAAGAAUAUUUUAUUAUAUUAUAGACACUCGAGUUGAGCCUGGAGGCGAUCCUACAGGGAAGCAAGAGUGAGCAUCUGCAGUACUGUGAGUGGUUAUUAUUUUUAAAAUGUUUUGGGUAUAUAGAAUAAUAUAUAUAUAUGUGGUUGGAUAUUUUACGUAUAUACAAAUUGAUUGAAAGGAUUGCUUUCUACAUAUAUAAAUUUGCUUUCACUUGUAUGAGUUAUCAUUUUAUGUGGAUUUUAAUAAUGUUUUUAUUGAUUUUUAAUUUUUAUGAGUUCAUAGUGAACUUGUGAAUUAUGUUAAUUAAAUAUCCUGUUAUUUGAAUUGAGAUUUUAAAUUAUUUUGGAAAAUAAUUGAUUUGAGAAAUAGAUUGAAAAUUUAUACGAUUUUAAGCAUGCUCAAAUAUUUUGUAAAUUUUUAGAUGGUUAAAAUCGAUUUAUGGUGAAUACAUUUUACUGUGGUAUUUCUGGUUUUCGCAUGAAUGGAUGAUUUGAAAAUUUUGACAUAUUUAAAUAGGCAGUGGAAUUUAAAUAUUAAAUUAUGAUUUAUGAUACAAUAUCGUUUGAGAAAAAUAUAUAUGAUUUUACAAAAGUAUUUUAAGGAUACCAUAUUCAUUAUUUUUAAAUUGAUGUACCAUGUAGUGCCAAUAUCUUGGAUCAGUAUUAUAUUAUAUUAUAUUACAGCAUGCUGGAUUUUGCCACGGUACCAUGAGAUUGGGCUCAGCCCAUAAGAUAUUAUUGCCACGGACCGUUAGGUUGGGAUGAUCCCACAAGUUAAUAUUUUCAUGGUACCAUGAGGUUGGGUUCAACCUACAAGAUAUUAUUACCACGGACCAUGAGGUUAGAUUUAUUCCACAGGUUAUUAUUGUCACAAUACCGUGAGGUCAGGCGUAACCUACAGGAUAUUUAUUGCCACAGACUGUGAGGUUGGGUACGUCCUGACGGUUAUUUAUUUCCACGAUGCCUUUCGUAUAUUGAGGGUCGUGAGGUGGGUAUAUCCCACGGUUUACAGUUUGGUACACCGAAUGGUACAUUGUAUAUGUUUUGAAUACAUUGUUGAUUUUCAAAUAAGGUGGAUUUACUGCACUUUCAUAAACAUUUUGUGGAACUGUGUUUAUAAUAUUUACGCUAAAUGUUUAUAUUUUGAUUAAGGCAUUUUGUAUUAUUAUAUUAUCGUUUAUUUUAUAUAUUUUGAGCAUCCAUUUCAUGAUUAUAAUUUUGGGGUACAAAUUCGGGUUUUGUGAACUGAUUUUAAAAGGGGAACUUUUCGAAAGAGCGAAAUGAGAGGUCUUGAGUGAAAGAUUUUUAUAGAAAUAAAUUAAUAUUUUUCUAUUAUACUCUACCACUCACUGAGAUUUCUUUAUCUCACGUUUUAUUUGUCUUAAAUUUGUUCUCCUAGGUCCAGGUAGUUAGUAGCAGUUUACCUCGCGCACCUCUUGUUACUUCGUUUCCUUCCACGAUAGCAGCAGUAUUAUCUUUUCUUUAUCUUACCUUUAUCUUUUCCGACAUCGUUUAUUUCUUAUUUGUACUUCUAAACUUUGUUAACAACCUUAGAAUGCUCUGAUUUAAAUAUUGGACUCAGUAGAGACCAUAUUUCUUAUGGGUGUAGUUAUGGCUUAUGGUACAAUAGGUCGGUUGUGGACUUUGUGCUGUUUUGGAUUUAUUUAUAUUUAUAUAUUGAGGUAUUAUUAGUAAUGCAUGUGUUAUUUGUCCACGUUUUAAGGUGAGGUUCCAUUGGAUAUUCCCUAGGAAUUGUCCGGUGGAACUUCACUAGGCGGGACCACUCGGAAGAUCCUAGGAGGGUUCCUGGGGUGGAUCCUAUCAAAGUCAAGACCCUGGUCCAAGCACAAGUCAAGAAACUCCAAGCCCAAUCCAAAGAAUGGAUAUAUCUUCAGAUGAUGACUCAUUGCCAAGAAAGGUCUUGGAUAAAAUGCAUGCUCAUGGUAGUGGUCCUCGAGUCAUCCUAAACAGACAAUGGAGGGGACAGCUCAAAAUGGAGGUGUUUGAUAUUUCCUAUAUAUAAAUAUCUCAGCUGCUUCAACUUCAAACAAUGUUAAAUUGUAUGCUAUAACUGAUGUGAUUCCGCCCGAGGCCCCUCAACCGAUAACCCGCUGGGGUGCUGACUCGACACGGAUGAAGACUAGGCCAAUCACAAGAGCUCAAAGUAAGAGAUUUAAGGACAACCUGGGAGUAUUUAUACAGGGGAUAAUCAAUCUCAACAGAGCUUGUCCAUACUUGAAGAUACAAAGCCUAUUCUAAGCAUCCAAGUGGUGGAAGCCGAUAAGGACCCGGGUGACGGUUUUGGUACAUUUUUGGAGUCCGGGAAGUAUGAAAUGGUUCCAAUGAUUUAUGGGUUCAAUACAUAUGCCUAAGAGGUCAUGGAAUCAAGUUAAAUCAGCCUCAAAUGCAAUCAAAAAGGGCUUGUACGGACAGCAUCAACAAUUUGGCCGAAUUUGCUGUAUUGCUUGCUGGCU